rnacentral:rRNA from 1 species
GACGAACGCUGGCGGUGUGCUUAACACAUGCAAGUGGAGCGACGAACCAGAGCUUGCUCUGGGGCAGAGCCGCGAACGGGUGAGUAACACGUGGGUAACGUACCCCGAUUACCGGGACAACCCGAGGAAACUCGGGCUAAUACCGGAUGUGCUCCCUCCCCAUGAGGGGAGUGAGUAAAGGAAGCUUCGGCCUCCGAAUCGGGAGCGGCCCGCGGCCUAUUAGUUGUUGGUGGGUAACGGCCUACCAAGACUGCGAUAGGUAGCUGGUCUGAGAGGAGGAUCAGCCACACUGGGACUGAGACACGGCCCAGACUCCUACGGAGGCAGCAGUGGGGAAUCUUGCGCAAUGCGCGAAAGCGUGACGCAGCAACACCGCGUGGGGGAAGACGGCC